rnacentral:rRNA from 1 species
UACAGAGGUGGCGAGCGUUAUUCGGAAUUAUUGGGCGUAAAGGGCGCGUAGGCGGCCACCGCAAGUCGACUGUGAAAUCUCCGGGCUUAACCCGGAAAGGUCAGCCGAUACUGCGGGGCUAGAGUGCAGAAGGGGCAACUGGAAUUCUCGGUGUAGCGGUGAAAUGCGUAGAUAUCGAGAGGAACACCUGCGGCGAAGGCGGGUUGCUGGGCUGACACUGACGCUGAGGCGCGAAAGCUAGGGGAGCGAACGGG